rnacentral:lncRNA from 1 species
CCUGUUCGAAUUCUAAAAGUCUGCGACGCUUGUCCGCGUAACUCUUCUGACGAUCUUGUGAAGUCUUCAUUUUCUCCUUGAUCUUCUUUACCUUAGUCGUAGUCUGUUGCACCAUCUCUGGUCCGACGAUCAUAUUUUCACCGUCCUUAUACCAACACAAGGGCGUUUGACACUUGCGCCCAUAUAAAGCCUCAUAUGGUGCCAUUCC